UUAUUGCAACCUUUUAAUAAUAAGGAAAUAAGUUCUUAAAGCGAAGAAUAUAUUAUUGGAUUAGGAGGUGAGAGAUCUUGACUUUUUCGAGAUAUUCGGAUAGUUAGCGCUUUGAGGAUCAAGGAAGUAAAUGGAAGGCCAUAUUAUGUGUAGGAGGAUAUCCGUGGACCGAGGGAUGAGGCCGCAGGAGAUCAUAUGAUGAAUAUAAUUGGUAUCAUGAAAAGGAAUUUCUAUGUUAUCAAAACCAAUAACUCCUGUGGAAAUUUAUUCGAGCAAUUAUGAUCGAUUAAUUCGACAUUCCUCUCCUCAUACUCCGAUAAUAUAUUCUUUGUUUCGAAGUUAUUUCGUUAUUAUUAAAAGGUCGC
rnacentral:lncRNA from 1 species